UAGGGAAUCUUCCACAAUGGGCGAAAGCCUGAUGGAGCAACGCCGCGUGUGUGAUGAAGGGUUUCGGCUCGUAAAACACUGUUGUAAGAGAAGAAUGCCAUUGAGAGUAACUGUUCAAUGUGUGACGGUAUCUUACCAGAAAGGAACGGCUAAAUACGUGCCAC
rnacentral:rRNA from 1 species